GGAUCCAGACUUUGAUUCUGGCUCAGGAUGAACGCUAGCUACAGGCUUAACACAUGCAAGUCGAGGGGCAGCGGGAUUGAAGCUUGCUUCAAUUGCCGGCGACCGGCGCACGGGUGAGUAACGCGUAUCCAAUCUUCCGUACACUCAGGGAUAGCCUUUCGAAAGAAAGAUUAAUACCUGAUAGUAUCUUAAGCACACAUGUAAUUAAGAUUAAAGAUUUAUCGGUGUACGAUGGGGAUGCGUUCCAUUAGGUAGUAGGCGGGGUAACGGCCCACCUAGCCAACGAUGGAUAGGGGUUCUGAGAGGAAGGUCCCCCACAUUGGAACUGAGACACGGUCCAAACUCCUACGGGAGGCAGCAGUGAGGAAUAUUGGUCAAUGGACGAGAGUCUGAACCAGCCAAGUAGCGUGAAGGAUGAAGGUCCUACGGAUUGUAAACUUCUUUUAUAAGGGAAUAAACCCUCCCACGUGUGGGAGCUUGUAUGUACCUUAUGAAUAAGCAUCGGCUAACUCCGUGCCAGCAGCCGCGGUAAUACGGAGGAUGCGAGCGUUAUCCGGAUUUAUUGGGUUUAAAGGGAGCGCAGACGGGUCGUUAAGUCAGCUGUGAAAGUUUGGGGCUCAACCUUAAAAUUGCAGUUGAUACUGGCGUCCUUGAGUGCGGUUGAGGUGUGCGGAAUUCGUGGUGUAGCGGUGAAAUGCUUAGAUAUCACGAAGAACUCCGAUUGCGAAGGCAGCACACUAAUCCGUAACUGACGUUCAUGCUCGAAAGUGUGGGUAUCAAACAGGAUUAGAUACCCUGGUAGUCCACACGGUAAACGAUGGAUACUCGCUGUUGGCGAUAUACUGUCAGCGGCUUAGCGAAAGCGUUAAGUAUCCCACCUGGGGAGUACGCCGGCAACGGUGCAACUCAAAG
rnacentral:rRNA from 1 species